rnacentral:tRNA from 1 species
UCACUAAGAAGCUUUUAUAGCACUAGCCUUUUAAGCUAGAGAGGGAAGCUCGCGCUCCCUUAGUGAA